rnacentral:rRNA from 1 species
GAGUGAACGCUGGCGGUAGGCCUACCACAUGCAAGUCGAACGGCAGCACAGUAAGAGCUUGCUCUUACGGGUGGCGAGUGGCGGACGGGUGAGGAAUACAUCGGAAUCUACUUUUUCGUGGGGGAUAACGUAGGGAAACUUACGCUAAUACCGCAUACGACCUACGGGUGAAAGCAGGGGAUCUUCGGACCUUGCGCGAUUGAAUGAGCCGAUGUCGGAUUAGCUAGUUGGCGGGGUAAAGGCCCACCAAGGCGACGAUCCGUAGCUGGUCUGAGAGGAUGAUCAGCCACACUGGAACUGAGACACGGUCCAGACUCCUAAGGGAGGCAGCAGUGGGGAAUAUUGGACAAUGGGCGAAAGCCUGAUCCAGCCAUACCGCGUGGGUGAAGAAGGCCUUCGGGUUGUAAAGCCCUUUUGUUGGGAAAGAAAAGCAGCAGGUUAAUACCCCGCUGUUCUGACGGUACCCAAAGAAUAAGCACCGGCUAACUUCGUG